UCUACGGGUGGCAGCAGUGGGGAAUAUUGGGCAAUGGGCGCAAGCCUGACCCAGCAACGCCGCGUGAAGGAAGAAGGCUUUCGGGUUGUAAACUUCUUUUAUGAGGGACGAAACAAAUGACGGUACCUCAUGAAUAAGCCACGGCUAACUACGUGCCAGCAGCCGCGGUAAUACGUAGGUGGCAAGCGUUAUCCGGAUUUACUGGGUGUAAAGGGCGUGUAGGCGGGACUGCAAGUCAGAUGUGAAAAUUAUGGGCUCAACCCGUGAACUGCAUUUGAAACUGUUUCCCGUGAGUGUCGGAGAGGUAAUCGGAAUUCCUUGUGUAGCGGUGAAAUGCGUAGAUAUAAGGAAGAACACCAGUGGCGAAGGCGGAUUACUGGACGAUAACUGACGGUGAGGCGCGAAAGCGUGGGGAGCAAACAGGAUUAGAUACCCCAGUAGUC
rnacentral:rRNA from 1 species